UUUAUUUUUUUUAAAUUUACAUUACUAAAAACACAACGAUUUAUAAUAAAUUUCUAAUAAAAUAUUUAACAAAAUAAUUUUACAUUACUAAAAACUCAUCAAAUACUAAAUUAAACACAACAAUUUAUAACAUAAUCUUAAAUUACUAAUAAAUUAAUUUUAAAACAAUAACAAACACAACCAUUUAUAACAUAAUCUUAAAUUACUAACAAAUUAAUUUUAAAAUAAUUAUAAAAAA
rnacentral:lncRNA from 1 species